rnacentral:miRNA from 1 species
UGAAGGGUCACAGACUUUGUCU